GUGGGGAAUAUUGGACAAUGGGCGAAAGCCUGAUCCAGCCAUGCCGCGUGUGUGAAGAAGGUCUUCGGAUUGUAAAGCACUUUAAGUUGGGAGGAAGGGCAGUAAGUUAAUACCUUGCUGUUUUGACGUUACCGACAGAAUAAGCACCGGCUAACUUCGUGCCAGCAGCCGCGGUAAUACGAAGGGUGCAAGCGUUAAUCGGAAUUACUGGGCGUAAAGCGCGCGUAGGUGGUUUUGUAAGUUGGAGGUGAAAUCCCCGGGCUCAACCUGGGAACUGACUCCAAAACUGCAUGACUAGAGUACGGUAGAGGGUAGUGGAAUUUCCUGUGUAGCGGUGAAAUGCGUAGAUAUAGGAAGGAACACCAGUGGCGAAGGCGACUACCUGGACUGAUACUGACACUGAGGUGCGAAAGCGUGGGGAGCAAACAGGAUUAGAUACCCGAGUAGUCC
rnacentral:rRNA from 1 species